CCGGGGUUAGUACCAAAACCUCUCCCAAAAUUGCAGAGAAGAGAGUCACUAGGCAAAGUGUUAGGAAGAGUCAGAACUGAUGUGCUUUGUUUCUUGUGUGCUAUAAUGAACCAUUGUAUGCCUUGAUUCUGAACAUGUGUGCUUUGUUUCUAGUGUGCUUUGAUGAACCAUUGUAUGCCUUGAUUCUGAACAUGUGUGCUUUGUUUCAUGUACGAAUUUGAUCUUUGGUUAAUAGUUUUUAAAAACAUUGUGAACUCUAAAUUGCAGAGUGAAAGUGUGAAUGGGGCGAAAGCAGGACAUAAGAAAGCCAAAGAACCGAGUCUUGCUACAGAACCGAGUUCCUCGAGAGAGCUCUGGCUUGUGAGACCUGCAGACGACUUACCGAGUGAUGAUCCUAGCGUUCUUAUAUUGGACAAACAAGUUUCCACUGCUUCAGAUUUACUCUUGGAAGAAGCUAGAAGGCAGACAAAGAAGGAGACUGCUAUGGUGAAUCUCCGUGAAAAAAGUGAGCGAGAAAGGAAACUUGCUCCCACACAGCAAACUCCUUUUAAGGGAAACAACACUGCCAAACAGAUCAUUCCACACAAAAAGGUUGGCCGAGUCUAUGAUCCUUUUGCACCCUAUGACAAGAAGAAGUCGAAGGAGCUCACUGAAUGGCUGCAACAAGAUCCGUAAGUUGCUGUACAAAAAUGAUUAUUUACAUUUGAUAAAAAAAAAGCAUCCAUUUGAUUAUUUAAAUUUUGUGUUUGCAGUUCUUAUAAACUACCUCUGAAAAAAAAACCACGUAGAUGUCCAAGUCGAUUUUAUCAGGUCCUCCGAACCCCCUUAGAAUGGCUGACCGACCAUCAAAUGGAUGCUUUUAUUAAUUUACUGAGGCAACGGUACCAAGACCAUCCACAACAUUUCAGGAGCGACAGAAUGUGCUUUCUUGAUCAUAUAUUUUCUCGGCAGUGGAGGGCCUCCUACCCUGAUUUUAAGAGCGGCAAUGGAGAUGCCAACGGUUUAGGAAGAAGACUCCCUGGUGGGGCGUGGAAUUAUCAUGCAAGCGAGAUACCUUCUUUUUGAAAAUCUAAGAAGGUUUGGGGGGUGGAUGUGGAUGAUAUCUAUGCACCUGUGAACUUCAAGAACCAGCAUUGGAUUGCUAUAUGGAUAUCGAUCCCUAAGAGGCACAUAGUCGUCUGGGACAGCAUUAUCGGUCAUAUUAGCCCUGAAGAACUCGAUGAGGUAAUGAAGCCUUUUGUCACAAUGGUCCCUUAUCUGCUUGUUGAGUGCGCGCUCUCUGACGAACAAAAGGUUCAAUACACAUUGGAGCCAUACACAUAUGCGAGACAAACCGAUGGAGUACCUCAGUGCCAAGCUGGCGAUUGUGGCCCCUUCGCUCUGAAGUACAUUGAAUGUCAUGCUCUUGGGAUGGAAUUUCCCAAAGCGUUUAACAAAAGAAACGGGAAGAGCAUCAGGGAGAAGAUGGCGGUGGAUAUAUUUCAAGAGCUUCCUAUGUGCCAUGAAUGGGAAAACUAAGACAAUGAUGAGAACCUGGGAACGUAUGAGUAGAUAUUGGAUGUGUUAUUUGUAUUUGAACUUGAUGCUUUUGUAUAUUGUUGUAUGGUAGAUUAGGGGACGUUAACAGGGUCA